CCUACGGGUGGCUGCAGUGGGGAAUAUUGGACAAUGGGGGGAACCCUGAUCCAGCCAUGCCGCGUGUGUGAAGAAGGCCCUCGGGUUGUAAAGCACUUUCAGUGAGGAAGAACGCCUGGUGGUUAAUACCCAUCAGGAAAGACAUCACUCACAGAAGAAGCACCGGCUAACUCCGUGCCAGCAGCCGCGGUAAUACGGAGGGUGUGAGCGUUAAUCGGAAUUACUGGGCGUAAAGCGCGCGUAGGUGGCUUGAUAAGCCGGUUGUGAAAGCCCCGGGCUCAACCUGGGAACGGCAUCCGGAACUGUCAAGCUAGAGUGCAGGAGAGGAAGGUAGAAUUCCCGGUGUAGCGGUGAAAUGCGUAGAGAUCGGGAGGAAUACCAGUGGCGAAGGCGGCCUUCUGGACUGACACUGACACUGAGGUGCGAAAGCGUGGGUAGCAAACAGGAUUAGAUACCCUUGUAGUC
rnacentral:rRNA from 1 species